UCUAUGCAUACCCAGCUUGAUCAUGAAGAUCGGACCGCACUUUUCGGCGAUGUUGCCCAAGGUGACAUAAGCUGGUUUUUGGCCCCCUAACAGGUGGAGGUGACCAAUCAAAGGCCAUGCACCACCAGGCUCCGGCACCGGUUUCUUGUCGAUUGAGUUUCUGUGCCGUCUUGAUAACCAUAGUAGAGAGUAAACAAGCAAAAACAAAGUGAAAAAGCCAGUAAUAAAAACAGUUGGUGUGAAAGGAACAUGAGUACCGUCCAUUAACCAAACUUUCUCCGAGGUUCCAAGUGGUAGAAGGAAAGUUGGAUCAAAUAAAUACAUGAGCUGUAAACCCGAUUCAAGGAUAAUUAUAUCGGUGUCUCUGGGAUAGUAAACAUAACCUGCUGUACCGUACAUCCGCCUUGGCCGUACAGCAGAUAUAUAAAGAUAUAAUAUAAUAUUACAUUAUUUAAUUAUAUUACAACAAUUAAUACAUAAAAUUAAUUAUUUUUAGAUACAAAUGAGGGAUUGUAUCUCCUAAAAUCUAGUAUUUAAGUCAACACAUAGCUGUAAAAUACAACUGACAUCUACAACAAUAGUCAACACACAACUGUAAAAUAUAACUGACAUCUGAAACACUCCCCCUCAAGCUGGAGCAUAGAUGUUCUUCAUGCCCAGCUUGCAUACAAACUCUUCAAACUUGUGUCCAUGUAUUCCUUUUGUCAACAUAUCUGCAGUUUGUUGUCCUGUAGGAAUAUACACCAAACAGAUAACUCUAGUUUCCUAUUUCUCUUUAAUAAAAUGUCGGUCUACCUCCAUAUGUUUUGUCCUGUCAUGAUGGACAAGAUUAUGAGCAAUAUUAAUUACUGCCUUAUUUUCACAGUAAAGUUGCAAAGGACUGUUUUUUAUUAACUGUAGUUCUUUGAGAACACGUUCUAUCCACAGAAGCUCACAUACCACAUGUGCUAGUGCUCGAAACUCUUCUUCUGCACUGCUUCGUGCCACUACAGUUUGCUUCUUACUUCUCCAAGUUACAAGGUUUCCCCACACCUUAGUACAAUAACCUGUUGUAGACUUCUUAUCCAUGACGUUUCCAGCCCAAUCUGCAUCAACAAAAGCUUCUAUAUUCUUUUUUUCUCCCUUCUCAAAAUAAAUUCCCUUUUCCGGUGUUGACUUCAGGUAUUAAAGUAUUCGGUUUACUACCACUAAGUGAGCUUCUCUUGGAGAGUGCAUAAACUGGCUCACUAAGCUAACCGUAAAAGCAAUAUCAGGUCUAGUAUGGGAAAGAUAAAUUAAUCUCCCUACUAGUCUUUGAUAUCUCCCCCUCUCCACGGGUGCACUAUUUUCUUCAAGACCCAACUUGCUAUUUGGUUCAACUGGUGUGGCAGCAGGUUUACAGUCAAUCAUACCAUUAUCCUUUAGCAAAUCUAGGGUGUAUUUCCGCUGUGUAACUAGAAUACCUUAGGCUGUUCUAGCUACCUCCAUUCCUAAAAAAUAACGUAGUGGUCCAAGAUCCUUGAUUUCAAACUCACAAGCUAAUUUUGCUUUUAAUCCUUCCAGCUCUUCUUUGUCAUCUCCUGUUAGUAUAAUGUCGUCAACAUACACGAUCAAAAUAGCUAACUUCCCUUCUUUAGACCAUUUGUAGAACAUAGUGUGAUCAGUUUUCCCUUGAGAAUAACCGUAAUUCUUCAAGACUUUUCCAAACCGGUCAAACCAAGCCCUAGGGGACUGUUUAAGGCCAUAGAGAGACCUUUUUAACCGAAAAACUCUUCUAGCAGGUCCUUUUUCUUCAAAACCAGGCGACAUAUCCAUGUAAACCUCCUCUUCCAAUUCUCCAUUCAAGAAUGCAUUCUUGAUAUCAAGCUGGUUGAGAGGCCAAUCUAAAUUUGCAGCAAGAGAGAGAAUGAUCCUUACAGUAUUAAGCUUUGCCACUGGGGCAAAAGUCUCUAGAUAGUCCACCCCAUAGGUUUGUGUGAAACCCUUCGCCACGAGUCUUGCUUUGUACCUGUCCACACUUCCAUCAGCCUUAUAUUUGACUGUAAAUACCCACUUGCACCCCACAGUCCUCUUGUCUUUAGGUCUUGGUACAAGCUUCCAUGUGUUAUUCUUUAUUAAGGCUGUCAUUUCUUCUUGAACAGCUUUCUUCCACUCAUUUGACUCUAGGGCUUCAUGGAUGUUUCUUGGAAUAGUGGUAUUAGAUAGAUUAGCCACAAAAUUCCUAUACUCCUUAGAUAGAUUUGCAUAUUGUUAGCCUAAAGGGCUACACAUAUUGUAAUUUUGAUGAUAACAAACAUGUGUCUUAAGUAAAUUUAAUAAAUAUUGUAUUUCACAUUUUCACUAGUUUUUGAAGGAUAAUAUUUAUGCAAGUGAAUCAAGUGAAAUCAAGCUCAAGACACUCAACGGACAACGGCGAAAUCAAGAAUAAAUUUUAAAGCUCAACGGAUAAAUUAUUGCUAUAAAUUCUUGUAAAGCCGGUAUGAUUUAAUUGAUGCAUGAUUUAACAUUUGAGAAACUCAAGAGAUUAAUUUAAUUAAUUACUUUCAUAAACUAAAAGGUUUUAUUUUUUAUAAGAUAAAAUAUUUUGUGGUUUUGAGUAUUUUGGACUUAAAUGGAAAGUUUUGCAAUCCUUGUUCUUUUAAUAAGUAUUAUCUAGAAUUCCGGAGUUGGACCUUUUUGCAAAUAUGUGAAAUGUUUUAGGCCAUACUAUAAUUUGUGAACAUUUUUGGACUAAAGUGCAAAGUUGUGAGAACUUUGAAAAAUAUGAGUAUUAUGUUAAAUUUUGAAAAAAUACCUCUUUGACAAAUAAUAAUAUAUUUGGGGCCAUAGCAUAAUUUCAAAAAGUUUUGGAAAGAUAAUUAUUAUUAAGAAAUUCUGAAAUUGAACUUAUUUGUAAAUUUUUAUGACGUUUUGGGCCAUAACAUAAUUAUAAAAAGUUUUGGGCUAAAGUGUAAUUUUAGUGAACAGUGUUUAUGUAGCAAAAUUCAAAAAUAACGGUAAUAUCACUGUUACAAGCGGCUAGCCGGAUAAAUCAAGCUGCUAACCGCUUGGGCGUUGGAAUUUGGCUGUAACGGCUAGUUUUCGGGCUUUAACUAUAAAAACUCAACUCCAACUUCAUUUUAAGAACUAAUGCAAGCAUAAAUAAGAUCAUAUAACAUAUAUUGAGCUUCCAUUUUGCAAAUCAUCAUUUAUUGAAUCAUUAUUGAGUUAUAAUUUGUUAUCCACUCUUAAAGAGAGUUUCAUUGUUGUGAUUUUCAGUUCUCAUCAAAUUGUGAGUGUACAAGUGUGAGAAACACUUGGAGUGAAGAGAUUGAGGAUAUAAUCUUUUGUUGUAAAGGUCCAUUGACAUCUUGAAAGUCAUUUGUAAACAUUUAAAGCCUUGGGAGGCUUGGAUAGUGAAAUCAUCAAGCCGGGUGAGCUUGGAGGCGUGGACGUAGGCAGGGAUAGCCGAACCACGUAAAAAUCCUUGUGUUUGUUUUCUCUUCCCUUACUCUUUUAAUAUUGUGCUUGAUUGAAUUUAUUGUUUUUUAUUUGAUUAAGGCAAUAGAUUAAAUUGUUGUGCGAAUUGUAUUACAUAAAUUUUAAAAUCUCAAUUCACCCCCCCCCCUCUUGAGUUGCAUAACUUGCAUUUCACAUAUGACAAGAACUUGUAGAUAGGAUGUUUGGUGCAAUUUCUUACCCUUUUCCUUAUCGCAAUAGGCAAAUUUGUGGACUUCUGAGGUUCGUUCUCAGCAUAUUCAGUAGGUGGGUUUUUAUCCUCCCUUAGUUCAGAUCUUGGUUCUGCUUGGUCUAUAAGUGGUUGUACCUCUUGAGUUUUAUUCUUCCUUCGUGAAUAGACAUGAAACUCGCCUAUAGGUUCCUCCAAAUGUGAAUUGGCUUUUAUCUCUUCAUUCCUUGGUGCCACUAUUGGUUGAUUAAGUUCUAUGGUGUUAGGUAGGUUAGGAUGAAUGUCUGGACUGAGGAAGGAGGUAUUUGGUAGAUUGAGUUCUAGGCUGGAAUUACUGGACAUAUUGGGUUCUAGGCUGGAACUGCUGGACAUAUUGGGUUCUAGGCUAGAAUUACAAGGCAUCUUAGGUUCUAAAAUGUCAAGAAGAUCCCAAGAAUUAUCUUUUCUCAAAUUCUGCCCCUGAAGAGAAUUACUCGUGUAAAAUGGCUAAUUUUCAAAGAACUUGACAUCCAUUGCGACGAAUAAUUUUUUGGUAAGAGGAUUAUAUCACUUGUACCCUUUCUUGGUAGGAGAAUAUCCUAAAAAUAGGCACUUGAUGGCUCUAAGAGACAGCUUUGUUCUUUGAAGACUCAGAAGAUAUACAAAUGAUGUACAACCAAAAGUUUUGAGUCCAAGAUUAGAGGUAACAAGGUGAUUUUGUGGGUAGCUGUCAAGAAAAACAUAAAUAGGUGUCUUGAAUUUAAGAACUCGAGAGGGCAUACGAUUUAUGAGAUAAGAUGCUGUAAGAAUGGCCUCUCUCCAAUAUAUUUUUGGUACAUUUGCUGUGAACAUAAUGGCCCUAGCAACCUCUAAAAGGUGUCUGUUUUUACAUUCCGCAACCCUAUUUUGUUGUGGUGUUCCAGAACAAGAACUUUGGUGGACAAUUCCUUGUUGUGAUAGGUAAUUCCCUAAAAUAGAAUUGAAAUACUCAGUUCCAUUAUAUGUACGAAGUACACGAAUGUCAGUUUGAAACUGAGUUUUUACCAUGGCAUGGAACUGUUUAAAAGUUUGUCCAGCUUCAUAUUUUUCCUUCAAAAAGUACACCCAAGUGGUCCUAGAGUGGUCAUCUAUGAAUGUAAUGAAACAUUUUGUUUUUGACAGGUUGUUAACCCUUGAGGGGCCCCAAAUAUCACUAUGAAUCAAAGAGAAAGGUUGGGAUGGUUUAUAAGUACGGGCAGGAAAUGGAACACGUGUUUGUUUAGCCAUUUGACAAAAAUCACAAUAUAAUAAACUCAGAUUUUUAUUUUUAAAUAAGGAAGGAAACAGGGUUUUUAGGUAUGGAAAGCUAGGGUGGCCUAACCUAUAGUGCCACAACAUUAUUUCAGAAGAAACAAAUUCACAUUGAGAGACCUGAGCAUGUCCUUUCACGGGUCCUUUAUUCUCGAGAUACUACAGCCCCUCAUAUUCUUUCGCAUUCCCAAUCAUCCUCCCCAAGAUUGGAUCCUGAAAUAGAUAUUUAGAACCACAGAAUUUAGCUACACAGUUUGUGUCUUUGGUAAGUUUACUAACUGAAAGAAGAUUACAUUUAAGAUUUGGGACAUGUAAAACUGAAAAAAGAGUCAAACAAUUUGAUAGUUUUACUGUUCCUUUUCCAGCAACAGUGGAUAAUGAUCCAUCAACAAUCCUCACUUUAUAAUUACCUGGACAUGGAGUGUAACUAGAGAAAAAUUGAGAAUACCAUGUCAUGUGGUCUGAGACCCCUGAAUCAACUAUCCAAGGACCUUUUUCAAAGGAUUGGAUGCUAAGGGCUGAUGGGUUACCUGUAUGGACUGCAUUACAACUAGAGGAGGUCAAGUAAUUUCUUUUUGCUUGUUGAUUUUGUAUGAGAAGCUGUUGCAGCAUCUUAAAUUGAUCUUUUGCGAGAGCAAACUGAUUAGUUUUCUCUGUCACCAUUCCUUUUGCUUCCUACUGACGUUUUGGUUUCCAAUCUGCUGGCUUUCCAUGAAGCCUCCAGCAUGAGUCUCGAGUAUGUCCUUUCCUAUGACAAUAGUCACAAUAGGGACGUUCUCCAUGUUUUUGUCCCUUUUGGUUAGCUGACUGAUCUGUCUUUUUGGUCACCAACGCUAAUCUCUCUAUCUCAGGUUCCUUCACGAGUCCCAUCAUGACUCUCUUUUGACUUUCUUCACGCCUCACCUUAGCAAAAGCUUCUCGGAUGGAGGGUAGAGGAUUCUUUCCCAAUAUUCUGCAAACUCAAGAACUUCAUCAAGUUCUUUGUUGAGUCCAUAAAGGAAAUCAAAGAGGCGUUCUCUAUCCAACAUCCUCUUAUAUUUGAUGUCAUCCUCAGAGCAAUGCCACUGCGAUUCAUAGUAAAGGUCAAGUUCAUGCCAUAUAUUGUUUAGAGAAUUGAAAUAUUGAGUCACUGAAAGACUCCCUUGCUUUUGGUCACGUAAUUGUGACUUGAUUUCAAAGAGCUGAGCCGCAUUCCCAAGGUUAGAGUAGGUUUCUGUCACGGCUUCCCAAAGCUCCUUCGCAGAUGGUAGGAAGAGAUAAGUCCUACCAAUAUCCACGUCCAUCGAGUUGAUCAACCAAGCUUGCACCAUUGAAUUUUCAGCAUCCCACUGUGGAUAACCAGGAUCCAAGACAUCAAGGGCUUUGGUUUCCCCUGUAAUAUACCCUAAUCAGCCUUUGCCACGAAGAAAUAGGGUGACAGAUUGAGACCAUUGCAAAAAGUUUCUGCCAUUUAACUUGUGCAAUGUUAUUUGCAAAGAGGGGUUUUCGGUACCUAAGGAGACCAAAGAGUUGUCCUGCCUUGUUACAGAACUGGAGGAAAUCUCAGAUCCUUGUGUAGGGUUUGUUGUCCUCUCCAGUGGAAGGCUUGAGACUUUAGAAUGGAAGAGGAGAAAAAUUCAGAGGCUAAGUUCAAAAGAGCUGCCCUGAUACCAUGUGAAAAUCAGAUUUCUUCUGUUUUUACUCUCUAUUUUCUCAUCUUAUACAAUAGAGAAGAAUACCUAUUUAUAUACAUUACACCCUAGGAACAAAAUGGUAAAAACAGCUAAGAUAUUGCAAAUCAGUAUCCCUUAAAAUUAGGGAUUGUAUCUCCUAAAAUCUAGUAUUUAAGUCAACACAUAGUUGUAAAAUAGAGCUGACAUCUACAACAAUAGUCAACACACAGCUAUAAAAUACAGCUAACAUCUACAACAGAAAUAAACUUGGCAUGAUUAUUGUUGUAAGUCUCACUAGCAAAAGCAGUCUUAUCGAAGCCAGCGCUAUCAAGAAUUGUAAUCACUGAAAGCUCAGGUUGUCCCUCUAUCAAUACAUCUAACAAUUGCUCCAUGUCCCUCUAUCAAUACAUCUAACAACUGCUCCAUGUCCCUCUUCUGAACAAGAAAAAUACGAAGAAGAAGAAGAAGAAUCACUUGCUUCUGUUUGAAUCUCCUGCUUUAAUUCACUAACAUCUUCGCGGUUGGGGGGAAGUCGUUGUACCGGAUUUCUUAUAUCGAUGAUCUUAUUUUGGAUUCUUAUAAGAGCAUCGGAAAACUCCUUAGAAGUAGUAGCACUGCUUUCACUAUUGGUUGUAGUGACUGUCUCAAUGGCUCUCCCAGAUUCAUGGAAAAAGUAAUUGAUCUCCUUCAGAACGCCUAAAAAACCUUCUCUAUCGACAUGAUCUUCAUUGAUCAUUUGAAACAUAAGCCAAGCUAUGUCACCUUCAUAGUGCUACGGGAAAGAAAUUAUAGUAAUAAUCUCGAAUAGGAUGUUUAGAAUACGCGGCUUUAAAUUUGUUGAAUCCGGCAAUAUUCCUUCUUCACCUGCUAAUAGCCUUUUCAACCUCUCAGAAAAUAGUCGAAGGUUGGUGUCCAUAGCUUCUUCUCUCGGUAUUCUAGUAUUAUAAUUAGAGCAUUACUAAUUAUUCUUCACGAAAUGAUAGCACAAACAUUAAUGUGAAUACAUGAUUAUUAAAUCAAGUCCUAGGGGCGGAUUCAGAAACUUAAUUCAUUGGGACAAAAUUAUAAUAAAAUUAAUAAAUUAUAAAAUUUACCCCAAUAUUAAAAGUUCUUUAUAAACUUGCCUCCAUUGAAACAAAAUUGGAUAGAUGCUCGUUUAUCCUCUAUAUUUUGCAUUAAGUAUCUCUCAAUCUUUAUAUUUUAAAAAAUGUCUUAAGAUACUCUGCUAUUAAAUAUAUUAUACUUUUGUCCUUACUUUUUUUUUUAACUUUUAUAAAAAUAUCCUUACAAUAAUCUUAAGGAUAUUAAUUUAAAAUAACACAAAAAAAAGUACUAAAGAUACAAAGGACAAAAAGAAAAUUGUAUUAUGGUAAAUAUUAUUUUGUCCUAUAAACUUUUUUCUUUUUUGUAGAGAUAGUGUGUUAUUUUUUAUACACAUACCACGAUUGCUUCUAUACCAUUGAAAAAUAAAUAUAGCCUUUUCACGUGCAAAUUAUUCAAGAACUCUACAAAUUCUACAGGAUUUUGCAGCCAAAACGAAUUCUAAAAUUCAUAAAACUUAUGUCAUAUAAAGACAAAGUGUCUAGUACUGUAACUAAUUAAUUACGAAAUUUCUAAGCACUCAAUAGAUCAUUAAAAUCAUCAUUGUAGCUACGAUUUUCUUCCUAACGUUUCUCCAAUUCUAGAUAGUAGAUCUCUUUAUUAAAUGGUCAAAAAUUAGAAAAGCGGCUAAAUCAAAAACUGAAUUAUGAAACUCAUUAUGUAAUAAUCUAAACUUAACUUCUAAUUUUGUAAUAAAAUAGAUUACAAAUGAACAUAAAAAAUGAUCAAACUAUAAGUAUAAUUUAUUUAGAAGAAAAUCAAAAUAAUUAAUAAGAAAUUAAUCACUUACCAAAGUCAAGAAGUGCAAGAGAACAAACGCAAGUUAUUAUUCCCAGUGCGUCGAACUUAUGAUAAUCACAAUGAUCACUCAGAUUAAUAAAUUGGAAUCACAACUUUAGAUCUAGAAGUCAUGCUAAGUGUGUCUGCCAUUAGUCCUUUCAUGAAAAUGUUUAUACUCAUGAUUAAUUUGCAGCUAGGACUUUGUAAUUAUCCGAAUUGAAGUUUCAACUAAUUAUCUUGACUUUGGUCAGUGAUUUCUUUUAAAAUUAUUUUGAGUCUUUUUCUUUAAAUAAAGCAUGACGUUGGAUCACUAUUGACGUUAACUUGUGAACUACUUUAGUUGAUCCCCUCAAUAUUAGAAACUAUAUUAUAUUGGAAAUAAUUAAGAGUGUUAAAAUUAUGAAAUUUCGUAAAAUUUCAUAAUUUUUCAUGGUGUCAUUUAAGGUUUCUACUUGUAAAGGCAAUAGAUUUCUGCAGAGCUAGCUGGUCUUUAUGUGAUUGGAAAAAUCUAAGUUCUGUUAUACAAUCAACAUACUUAGUAUCAUCUGCCCAAAGUUUUACCAUAAUCACAAGUAGAGGUGACAAUUUGGGUUAGCAGGUUGUGUUCAUAUCAUAGCCUCCUCUUGCCAUUAAAUUUGAACUAGUUUAAAUCUGACCCAUUUAUUAAUUGUGUAAGGAAUUUAAAAUCCUAACCUAGACUCAUUUAUUGUCCUAUCUGAGUCGUUUAACCCAUUUAACAAAAUUUUAAUAUUUUAUUCAGAAAAUAUCACAUUGUUAACGUGUUUUUAUUUCAUAGCAUAUACAUAUUAUUAGAUUACAACCCGUAGCGAAGCUAGCAAAGGCCUUUUUCUGGGCUACAGCUCUGUAAGGUCCCUGCAAAAUUUCUUCUAAAUCCCUCUAUUUUUAGUUUAUGAAAAUAUAAUUACAGAAAUUACGGCUUUCUUCCAUCUGAUUUUUACUUGAGAUCUAAAAAUUAUGUAUAUAAUUUGAGUAGUUAUUAAAAGUUUGUUCAAGCAAUUAAGUUUGAGCAGUUCGCAUAGGCUUUUAUAUAUUCUAAGGGUUAAAAAAUUUAGGUAGCUUAGCCAAUAUAUCUGGAGUACAACGACUAGGGUGCAAGGAUGUUAUAAAAAUGAGAUUUCUCAGAAAGCUGCAAUAUUUUCUUAGAGGUGCAGGUAGAGUGAUGGAAUCAAAGUUUAGAUGCAUGAGUUUUGCAUCAUCCAAGUAUUCUGGUGACUGUUUAUAAGGGUGCAUAAUGAUGAAGGAAGGCUUUUGAGGGAAAGGAAUUGAAUUCAUGAGCUUCAAAUAUUUCAUAGAGAAUAAUUUUUUUCAUUCUAGAUGGACAUCAGUCGAGAAUCGAAAACUAGAUAACCUAAGGUCAUGUUUGUUUUGAAGAAAGGGGGAGGAGAGGAAAAGACUGGAAUGAAGGAGAAGGGAGAAGAAAGGAGUGGAGAAGAAUAGUGAAAUUGAAUUUUAUUAUUUGGUUUGACAUAAAAUUUGAUAGAGAAAGGGAUUAUAAUUUUUUUCUUUGGACAAAUUUAUCAUUUGCCUUAAAUGCUAAACUAUCUAUAUUAGUAAUAAAAUAUAAUUUAAUAUCAAUACCAAAAAUUUUUACCGUACGGUUUUAAAAUAUUAUGAAAUUAACACUUUAAAACCCUGUUUUCUUUUAUUUUCCCGCACUUUAAAAUUCUGGAUUGAAAAAUUUAUACACACACACACACACAUAUAUAUAUAAACGGCAGUCCAACGAAGUUCCAAAGGCAUUCCCACGACGAUCGAUGGAAUUCUGACGGCUUCCGACAAUAGUCUGAUAGUGAUCCAAUAGAACUCCGGCGACUUACGACGAUGGUCAAAUGGUAGUCUAGCAGAGUUCUGGCGACAGUCCGGCAGAGUUCCGGCUAUGGAUAAUUUAUAUUUCUAUAUUUUUAUAUUAAAUAAAUAAAUACCCCGAUGGAGGUCCCGUGAAGGUUCGGCGAAAGUCUGGCAAUAGUUAAUUUAUAUUUCUAUAUUUUCAUAUUAAAUAAAUAAGUUUAUUAUUUUGUUAAGUUUCUUAAAUCAUUCAUUAAAUUUAAUUAUUAUAAAUUUUUUUAUAAUAUUAAAUUGAUAAAAUAAAAUUAUAAAUAAUAAUUAUUAAUGGCAUUAAACAAGCUUGAAGGGUAAUUUUGGAAGGUUCAAUUUUCAACAUAAGAGGAAUUUGAAUUCUUCAUUCCUUGGUGUGAGAUUCAAAUUAUACAUUACGAUAGAUAUUAAAUUCUAAUGAAAAUUAAAUUUUUAUAUAUUUUAUCCAACCAAACAAUGGAAAUAAAAAUAAAAUUUAAGUUACUUUCCUUUCCUCCAUUCUCUCGUUCUAACCAAACAUCACCUAAGUUCAAUUUGAACUUUUUUUUACAAAUUUUUUCGGAAAAUAUGUGAUGGCAGGAUUAUUGCUUUCUCAGUUGAAGAUACGCAAAGAAUGGAGGUAUGUGUCAAAAUGCUUUAAAAAUUUUACUUCUUCAAUCGAAUUUCAAAAAUUUACUUUGUUAAUCAAAGAACUAGAGAACCUACAUAAUAUAUACCUUGGGGAAUUUGAACUUUUAAAUAAGCUUUCUGUUCAGAAAUUCAUUAAUCAAUUUACUUCCUAAUUAACAUGUCUAUAAAAUUCUAGAUCCUUUGGUCAAUAAUUUUAAAAAUUAAAAGGAUCAAAUCUCCUGCUUUUAUGUUAACAAAAGCUCAAAAGAAUUAUAAGUGAAAUUACUUACCAAAGUCAAAAGGUGCAUGCAGAGAAACUAAAAAAUUGCAAUGUAUCAACUUCAGGAGAAAUUUUAGAAUAAAUCAGAGUCAUCAUUUUAAUCAAAUAAUAAAUAAAUUAUAUUAUAAGAUAUAUGCAUUUAUUUUUAUACAAAUUAAGGUCAAUGGUAGCUAAUUAUCUAAAUGGAGGGGCGCUACUACAGUACAUGCAUGUAUCUCAUACAUGCAUAAAAAAUAGCUAUUGGAUUAAAUUGGAGUAGAUCGAAUGGUUGAGAUUUUUUAUUAUUAUUAAAUAUGAAAGAAAUGGAAACUUGAAAAAUCGGUAAACAUGAAACAUGGGACCAAUAAACAUGAAACGCAUACCAUUAACUUGAAACUAGGAUCAUUAAACUUAAAACUAAAGGAACUUGAAACUUAGAGCAAUAAACAUGGAACUUUGGAUCAUUAACUUGCAACUCCAAAAAUCACGCAAUUAAUGAACCAAUAAAUAUGAAACAUCUACCAUUAACUUAAAACUGGGACAAUUAAACUUGAAACCAAAAAAACUUGAAAUUGAGGGCAAUGAACAUGAAACUUGGAAUUAUUAACUUCCAACCCCAAAAACCAUGCAAUUAAUGGACCAAUAAACAUGAAACAUCUACCAUUAACUUGAAACUGAGACCAUUAAACUUGAAACCAAAUAAAUUUGAAACUGAGGGCAAUGAACAUGAAACUUAGGACCAUUAACUUGCAACCACGAAAAUCAUGCAACUAAUAGACCAAUAAACAUAAAACACCUACCAUUAACUUGAAGCUGAAACCAUUAAACUUGAAACCAAAUGAACUUGAAACUGAGGGCAAUGAACAUGAAAUUUAUGAUCAUUAACUUGCAACCCCAAAAAUCAUACAACUAAUGGACCAAUAAAAAUGAAACACCUACCAUUAACUUGAAACUGAGACUAUUAAACUUGAAACCAAAUGAACUUGAAACUGAGGGCAAUGAACAUGAAAAUUGGGAUCAUUAACUUGCAACCCUGAUUAAUGGACAAAUAAACAUGAAACACCUACCAUUAACUUAAAUCUGGGACCAUUAAAAUAGAAACCAAAUGAACUUGAAACUUAGAGUAAUAAACAUGGAACUUAAGAUCAUUAACUUGCAACCGCGAAAAUCAUGUAAUUAAUGGACCAAUAAACAUGAAACUCCUAUCAUUAAUCUGAAACUCAGAUCAUUAAACUUGAAACAAAAGGAACUUGAAACUUAGAGUAAUGAACAUGGAACUUAGGAUCAUUAACUUGCAAUCGCAAAAAUUAUACAAUUAAUGGACCAAUAAACAUGAAACACCUACCAUUAAUAUGAAACUGGGACCAUUAAACUUGAAACUAAAGGAACUUGAAACUUAGAGCAAUGAACAUGGAACUUAGGAUCAUUAACUUGCAACCCUGAAAAUCAUGUAAUUAAUGGACCAAUAAACAUGAAACACUUACCGUUAACUUGAUUCUGUAACCAUUAAACUUGAAACUAAUUUUUAUUUAUUAUAAAACUGAAUUUUUUAUUAUUAUGUUGCCUUUAUUAUUAAAAUAAUUAUUAUUUUAUUUUAUAAUAUAAUAUUUAUUUAAGGAACAACCGAUUGCCCUUUACGGAUUGCUCCAAGGUUUUUUCUUUUUUUUAAUGUUUGGCUGCCACUUGGCCAUAUUUUUUAAAUUUUUUUAUUACUCGCAUGUAUGUGAUACAUGCGGGGAUUGUAGCGGUGGCCCUAAAUGGAGACUUCUAGCUGGCCAAAGUCAAAACUCAAAAGAAGACAGCUGCAUGAUUUUUUUUUUUUGAAAAAAAAAUGAACCUUGGCUGCGAGGUAAUUUCAUUGAAAAAUAAAGGACAAUGUACUCUCCUGGUAAAGGGACAUAGUGGAGCCUUACUCUCAAAAUAGUUAGAAAACUGCAACACCAAAAAAAUAAAAAAGUAGAAAGAGCACACUUAAGAAAGAUGAUAACUAGAAAAUCUAUCAGCAUCAUUAGAAAGAAACCCUGAAAAUCCACCAAGGGUAAAUAAAAAGACAGUUACAUGAUUAAUUACUUAUUAGUCGUUAAUCAUAAAACAGAUAUAUGAAAAGAUAAUGAGGAGGUAGAGGCAUGAUUAUGAAUACAAUCAACAGACAUACAUAUUUCAUUUAUUCAAAUAAUGGAGCAUGAAGUCGAGGAGUGAGAAGGACUUGAAGCGGAGUGGCCUUAAGGUUAGUCAACCCCACUCCCUCACUCAUGUCAAGUGGUUCAUCCCCUGGAGUUGCAAAUUCAAAUCCAUGCAACAAACUAGCGAGUGUUAGUAGCAAGACUUGAAGGGCAAAAGAGAUUCCAGGGCACCCUCUUCUUCCGGAGCCAAAGGGUAUCAAUUCAAAAUUUUGUCCCCUAACAUCAAUAUCUUUGUGCGUUGUCAGAAACCUUUCUGGUCGAAACUCAUUAGGCUUUUCCCACACAUUUGGAUCUCGUUGAAUCUUUGGAAUAUUAACAAACAGACGUGUGCCGGCAGGCACAUGAUAGCCGGCUAUGGUGCAGUCUUCGAUGGAUUCAUGUGGUACAGAGAGGGGCGUGGCAGGAUAUAAGCGAAGAGUUUCCUUUACUACAGCUUGCAAGUAAACUAAUUUUUUUGUAUCAGAUUCAUUCACUUGUCUUUCUCUACCAAUAUGGGUAUCUAGUUCGUCUUGGACUUUCUUCAAAACGUCACCGUGGUUGAGUACUAAAGUCAGAGCCCAUGUCAAUGUGACCAUGGUGGUGUCCGUACCCCCCAAUAUAAGGGCCUGCAUGCAAAAGAAGGAACGUAACCAUACCCGGCCCCAAGCCGAAGUCACUAAGAUUAUCGUGAAUCCAAAUAAAAUAAAAAAUAUAUAUAUAAAUACAACUUAAUCAAUGUGACUAAUUAUUAAUUAAUGUGUGUUUUGGGGAUGUAUUUACUUACUUGAGUGAUAUGUGUUUAUUUAUGAGUAAGAGUGAAAAUCUCACUCCAUGAGUCCCACGUAUUUUUGGAGUGAGAAGUGAGAUUCCCACUCCCAUGGGGGCUGGUGGAAGUGGGAAUCCACUCCUCUCUAUUUCUUUUUUACUAUUUCCUUUAAAUAUAACAUAAUUAUACCCAUUAAACUAAAAUAAUAUUACAUUUAUUUAAAAAUAAUAACAUCAUAUUAUUUAAAAAUAAUAUUAUUAUAUUAUUUAAUAAAUUACAUUUAUUUAUUUACAUUAUUUGUCUAUAUUAUUAAAGUUUCAUUUGUGUUGCUUUUAUCAAUAAUUUUUAAUUUACAUACUUAAAAUUAAAAUUAAUAAAAAAUGUAAUUUACAUAAUUAAGAAUAUUAAUAACAAUUAUUAACUUAUAUGAUUAAAUUUAAUAAUAAAAUAAAUAGUUUAUUUUUGAAAAUAUAUUUUUCAUUCACUUUGUAAUUAAGAACUACAAUUCUGUAUAUAAGUGUAAAACUAUAAAUUAAAACAAUUCACUCCUAAUCUAAAACAAAAAUAAACACAUAAAUGAGAUUUUUAUUUCUAUUCUUCACUCCUAUUUCAGUGUAUGUAAAUAACUUACUCUCUCUUCAAUUCUAUACUAUCAAUCCCAAGAUCUUCAAUCCUCAAGAUUUUUAAUCUAAUCACAAAAGUAAAUGCUACCUCAACAUAAUCUAAUAUUGAAUAAUUGGAAAAAAAAUUAGCGAAAACCUUUUUAUAAUAAAUGUUGUAAAAUCUUAUAUAACAUUGUCAAUGUGCGCGUCUACACGACUCUAUAGAUGUAGAAUUUCUUAGGUGUAUUUAUAUAAUUGUGUUUUAUUAAGAGAUCUCUUAGUGCAUUUUUGGGAGUUAGGAUUAAAUAUGGAAUUAGAUUAACUUUUAGAUUAAAUAUUUUAUUCUAUAUUUGGCUACUUUGUUUGGAUUGGAUUAAGGAGGACUAAAUUUAAAUUUAUUCCUCAAAUCAAGGGAUUAACAAUCCCAAUUUAUAAGUGGGUUUAGAUGGGAUUAGAAUAAGAGAAAAAAUUUAUUCAUAUUUCUUUCAUAGAUAUUAUUAUUUUUUAUUUGUAACCUAAAAUUUAAUUACUUAAUUAAUUAUUUUAUUCAUGAUUAACUUGAAUUUAUUUUUUAUUUUGUUUUUAUAGUCUAAUUAAAUUGGUACUUUUACUCCAAUAAAAUUAACUAUUUAAUAAUUUGUUACAAUAAUUGAUUGUAUUAAAUUUAAUAAUCACCAAUGUAAUAUUAAAAAUAAUCAUGGAAAUUAAUAAUACAAGUAAAUAAUUGAUUUUAUAUGUACAUUAUUUGCUAAAUUUUUGAUAAAAUAAAAUAUAUAUCUAAAAUAUCUGAUAAAAAUUAAUUAAAUAAUUAAAUAGUUUUAUUAAUUUAUAUUUGUUUACUAUAGUUAUAACUGCCCAAUAACUAAUUUACUACAUAUUUAAUGCUCUUGUUAAUUACCUUUAAAUUAAUUUUAAUUAUUACUCUUAAAUAUUCAUAAAUAUUUUUUUGUAUUUAAAUAUGAUUUAACAUUGUCCAAUCCGAUAUUGUACCAAAUAUAGUACAAUAUAUAAUAUAAUCCAGCUUAAUCUAAUCCAACUUAAUUUAAUCCAAUCCAAUCUUAUGUGCUAAACAUAACUUGAAGUUAUUAAAGUUAGGGAUAAAUUAAAAGACAAGAUAAACAUAUAUUCUAAUACACUACAUGACAAAAUACACAGUAUUAAAAUAUGUAUUUUGCUUGUCAUUAGUUUAUUCCCUUGCUGAAUAAUUUUUUAAUCAUGAAUCUGUAACCAAAUUAAGGUCAGAGAAGAGUUAAAGAGACAAAAAAACACAGACUCCAAUGCAGUGCACUUUGUCCUGUAAUAUAUUGAAAUCUGUAUUUUUUAAUGUUUUAUCUUAUCUCUAACUUUAAUAUCAUCAAAGAUCCUUGAUUGGAAACUCACUCUCUCAUAUAUAUAUAUAUAUAUAUUUCUCUAGUGAGGGUUAGGAUGCUGCUAACAAAAAAAAAAAGCCACCUAUUUCAAUACACUAACAGAUAAAAAAAACACAAUUUUUAAUAUAUUGAAAUCUAUAUUUUUUAUAUAUUAUAUAUAUAUAAUAUAAUAAUUUUACAAUAAAAGAUCCCUUCAGUUAUUAAGUUAAGGAAUAAGUUAGAAGACUAAAAAAAAUAUACAAUUCAAUAGAUUACAAAAUAAAGUAUGUUGUAUUACUAUUUAUCUUUCAAUUUAUCCCUUAACUUAAUAAUUUAAGAGAUUUCUUAUUAGGUUAUAUUUAUAUACCAUAGUAAUUUAGGUGCAGAUGCCAAAAUAUAUAUUUUGUGUGGAUUCGCGAUAACACCAUAUAUCGUGUUAAUAAUAUAAUACUCACUAUUAAUAAUUGUGACUAAUUAAAUAAUUUUGAUUAAAAUUAAGGUGCAUACCAGGCACGUUGCUUUGGUGAUCGUAUCGGCAUCAAAACUAGGGAUCUCUUCAUCAGCUUCGGUAAGAACGGAUAUCAUCACGUCCAUGAAGUCAUUCUCAUCCUUGAUCACCUGAUCAUCGCUUGAAAUCCUCUUCUGCUUAUGAUCUUUUAACCAGCCUUCAAGAAUUUGGUCAAGCUCUUUCGCUGUCCUCCCCAUGCUCUUCUCACAUCCAUCUAAAUCCAACCACCUCAAAAAUGGAACGGCAUCAGCAAUUGCAAAACCCCCAGUUAAUUCCGAAAAUUUUCUUAUUGCCUUUCGACACCGAUCAUUCUCUUCAUCAAUCUCUUGAUGAUUUGUUUUACCAGUCCCUCCCACGAAUAAUCUUUUCCCCACAACCAUUCUUGUAGCGACAUUUAAGGUCACUGCGUUAAAUCUUUCCUUCAUCUCAACCAAGGCCUUGCCUGAACCAUCACUGUGCUUCAUCCAUUCAUCAUAUAGUUCUUUCAUGGACGUUCUUACCUCAGAUUCUCGGACAUGUUUCAGCAUUUCCAGGCGGUGAUUUGAGAGAACCUCCAGUGUGGCAAUCUUGCGGAUUUGGCGCCAGUAAGGACCGUAAGGGCUGAAGCCAAACAUGGCGUAGUUGUAGCCCAAGAUCUCUGGUGCUAGAGCUUUUAUGCGGUUGGAAAAAACUUUAUCAUUUGUAGUGAAGCACUCUUUAGCAAUCUCCCAGUUGCUAACAAUCAAAGCUCUAUGCAUACCCAGCUUGAUCAUGAAGAUCGGACCGCACUUUUCGGCGAUGUUGCCCAAGGUGACAUAAGCUGGUUUUUGGCCCCCUAACAGGUGGAGGUGACCAAUCAAAGGCCAUGCACCACCAGGCUCCGGCACCGGUUUCUUGUCGAUUGAGUUUC
rnacentral:lncRNA from 1 species